UUCUCAUGGGAUUUGUAGUUCUGAAUCUAUCCAGAGAGGUUUGCAGCUCUUGAGAGCACGGAAGAAGAAUUUGACAUUUAGCAUGAGUAUACCCAAGAAAAUAUUUAAAACAGAGCAAUUCCAAAGACAUUGCUGUGUCCCGUUUUGUUCGGCUUCCUCCAAAUGUAAUAGUUUUCAUUCUUUUCCUACCGAUUCCGACUUGAGAAAACAAUGGCUGAUAAACAUACGGCGUGAUCCAUACACAGUUACCGCUCACACCAAAGUUUGCAGCGGACAUUUCACUUCUGAUCAGCUCAUAGAGCCAACAUCUCUGAAAGGUGGUCGGAGGCUGGUUAAAGGUGCCGUACCAACAUUGUUUGAAUGGAAUAUCUGUGAAAGUAAAACAGAACCACCGCCUCCUCUACAGGUACAAGAAUGGCACAGUUUACAGAAGGACCAUAAUUACUGCUUCAUCCCCGGGCCCCCUGCAAAGAAAAGGUCAUCAUCUUCUAAAUUGGACAUGUCAAUAUCAGCAACAGAAGACCAGUCCAAAUACGUGAAGAACCUGAGGAAAAACAUUUGGGAGCAAUUUAUCAAGCAAGAGUUUUGUUUACAACGGUUUGCAGGCUCUGAUGAAGACAUCCAGUUUUAUACCAGAUUUCCAAGCUACAAACAUUUGAUGGCAUUUUGGUUCUUGAUUGAGCCUUGGAUUCAUAAAAUGGUCAGGAUGUCAAGAGCUAAAUUAGCUGCCAAGGGAAAUGAAGAAAUGAUGAUCUCUGCACCGUCAUCAGAGAGGCAGCAUCUUCAACCUGUUGACGAGUUCUUUCUUUUCCUCGUUUUUCUGUCACUUGGUAUGAAAGAAAGGGACCUUGCAAUUCGAUUCAACGCUCACCAGUCCAUCGUGAGCCGCAUUAUUGCAAUGUGGACAAAUUUUCUUUUCACUGUUCUGGGGUCUCAGUGCAUCUGGCUUACACGGCAGAAAGUACAAGCUUAUCUCCCUGAGGAAUUUAUGGAUUUCCCUGACACCCAGGUGAUCCUGGACUGUACAGAGCUGAGGUGUCAAAUGCCAUCUUCACCUCUUCCCCAGAGGGACAUGAACCCCUCUCACAGAUCCCUCUGCACCAUGAGAGCCUUGAUUGGCAUAGCUCCACACGGUGCUGUAACAUUCAUCUCUGAUCUAUAUAGAGGUUCAUUCAGUAUUAGCGAGCUAUUCAAACGCUCUGGCAUUGCUGAAAACUUGACCGAAGACAUGGCAGUGAUGGUAAAUAAGGGCUUCCUGAUUAGGGAUUGUUGUGAGUGUAAAGUGUACUCCCUUUCUUUUCUGUCCAAGCACCCAGGAGACCAGGCCACAGCAAGACUCAAAAUGCACGUGGAGCAAGUCAUUGGGAGGGUAAAACAGAAUAAACUUUUUCAUGGCAUUGUCUCUCUGUCACAGGCCUACAGCAUUAACCAGCUGUUUGUAGUUGCAUGUUUGCUGUCAAAUUAUCAGAACACUGCUUUAGUUAAUAAAGUGGUUCAUUGAGGAUCUGUGGGCUUAAGCCACAAAAUGAACACAAAGAUUUGAUCUACGAAGCUGUGAAAAAAAACUACUUGCAACAGAUAAAUUUCUGUCACUUGAGUCGAAAGCAGACAAGAAAACUGAUUCUGUUGUGCUGCUAAAUUAGUUCUUGAAAGAUAGUUGGAACUCAUUCUGUGUUGAGAAAUGCUUUAUGUUUGGUUUUGCAGUUUGGCAUUGUAUUCUUCACUAAGUUUGACUAUUGUUUGAAUUAAACUAGUUUUUAUGUUUUGAAUCUGAAGCAGACUGACGUGAAUUGGAUUUAUUUCAAUAAAGUUUUGGUUGCUGAAUUGGAAUAUUUGAUAGAAAUUCUAUACUUGUCUUGUCAAAUGCAUUGAGAUUAUACUACAAAAAAGCUGAAUAAAAAAUACUGUACUAAGGUAAUUGAAAUAAUUUGUAAAGUUCAUCUCUUAAAAUCCUGUGUUUAACUGCAGAUCCAUGUUUUGUCAUCAACGAUCAUAAAUAAAAAUAUGUAGCAUAAAAUAAGUGAUUUCAUAAAUAUUCACUUACUGAAACGUGACUGACCUAAUUCAACAGAGGUCCAAUUGGCCCAAUUGGUGCUAAUAGUCUCACAGUGAGAGAAAUGGAUAUCACCUGAUUGCUGUAAGUGUCUUGAGUCAUUGUAAUAGAAAGGAAUCUUUUUUCACUUUGACAUUAAUGUUGUUGGGUUUUUUUUGUUUUGUUUUGUUUUUUGUUUUUGUCACAAAAGCCAAAUUUCUUUGAGUCAAAUUUUAUAGCUUUCUAAAAGUAAUAAAAAUGGAUAUAAUAUUCAAAGAGGUGAAUACUUUUUAUAGGCACUAAAAGCUUUGGGGUUUAUCUGAUUAAAUGUACUUAAAUUAAAAGGUGUAAAUUGUAUUUACAUAAGUAUUUUGUUGGUCUCACAUGACUGCAUGAUUAAUUCAGUGGCCUACACAAACUGUAAAUCCAUUUCAUGCUUCUGAAGCUUUGCUUCAAACAUAUUUUUAGCAUUGUUUUGGUGACUAACACACCCUGCAAACAUAGGAAACACAUUUGUUAUUAGUGCUGUCACUGUUUACAUGUAAAAAUUGAAUAUGCAGAAAAUUAUCGUGCGGAGUUUUGCAUAAUAAGCAGUUCCACUGUGUGAAACAGUACCUGCUACCUAACGAGAUUAAUCAAAAAGCUUAAGCUGAAAAAAAUUAGGAUGUAGAUUUUAAAUUUAACAUCACCUUCAUGGAAAGAACCCAAUCGGAGCAUGGUUCAGUGCCAUGGUUACUGAUCCAUCUUUUGAAAAAGAGACCUUUUGUUUAGUGUGCCUUCAAACCACUACUACAACAGUUUUGAUGAAACAACCUUAAUAACUGCAAUACCAAAUUGAUUUAUGUGGUCAGUAUGAACUUUAAAUAAAAAAAAUGUUGUCAUUUAUGAAAUUAUUUAAAUGGUUAGACUUGAUAUGUUUUUAGUUACGUUUUUGACAAUGCUCCACUGACUUGAACCCCAUGAAUGGGACAAACAACUUCUCACAUCUACACAUUUAGUGUGUGUGGUGACUCACUUUUCCUCAUUGUCCUGCAGCACUAUGUUCUUACUGACUUCUCCUGAAAAAAACUAUUUUUAGUGAACACUGAAUAAAAUCACAAAUAUAAGUCUCAUUAGGAUUGUUUCUGCUUCUGGGGCCAUGACCCCAGUCAUAUAAUGAAACCCCAAGUGUAAUCUUAAGAUCAUUUUAAAAACCAUUUGUUAGAAGGCAAACUGGAGAAAAUAGUAAACACUUAGAAAACACGGCCAGAAGUAACUGUCCAAAUAUUGGCACAUAUGCAGUCUGUCUAUUACGGCUGCAUGAUAUUAGAAGAUCAUCUACUGAGAACAUUGUUUUUAAAUAUUAUGAUAAUGAUGAUACUAAUCGCAAUACAUUUGAAUUUUGUCCACUCCUGCCUUUCCCUGAUCUAAAUCCCAUAGUGAAUCUGCAGAAUAUUGUCAAGAAGAAGAUUUAAAAAAAAAAUUUUUAAAAACAUGCGACAAUGCAGAUAAGCUGAAAGCCACUAUUAAGCAAUCUGCAGUGGGAGUUUUUGCCACAGGAGGCUAAGUCUUAUAUUGGGUGAAUAUAAUAUAGAGUACCAGGACAUAUUUUUCUCUAGGCAGACAUUUCUGUUUUGAAACCCAUCUUCUUUGUAUCUUUUGCAAUACAAACUUUUAAAAACCACAUUUUUUGUUUUUGGUUUUUGUAAAUUAUAAUCAAAAUAAUAACGAAAGUAACAGAAAUAGAUCUGUUAAAUCAGGUGUGUUCAUCCAUCCAUUACUCUGUGUAUCUACAUGAAUUACUAAAGUAAGCUUCCAACGUACAAUCACAAUAAUGUUUUAGAUUCUAUUUGUGUUUUAGUUUCUAUAUGCUUUAAAAAAUAACUAAAUAAAUAUGAGGAAGUGAACACAUAGCCUAAACUAAAAGCAGGCAGUCUCUGUAUCUCAGGUCAGGGCAAAAAACAGGCAAGACACUAUUGAAUAUUUUUAAAAGGACAUUUUCUUCAUCAACUUACAUAGAAGGCUACUUACUUAUUCUUAUCACAAAAGUACAGGAACAUACGCUUUAAGGCCCCUGAUUUAUGUGACAACAUGACCAUUUCUUUCUGAAAUAUCUUUCUCUUUCAUGUUGAAUAAAUAUCAGGGAUUUAAAUUAAAUAUUUUAGUUUCAAGAAAAGGGAGAGAGACAAACCAACAACUAAGUUCUUCUCUUGGCAGGGGAUAUUGGUAUUGCUACCACCACCUACACUGGACGGUUCCAUACUAGCAAAACAUUCAAAGCGGCCUAUGAUGUGCUCUUUCAUUUAAUCUGGGAUUUAUUUGUGGUUGGCUAAGCAUCAAUAUGUAUUCAUAUUUAUACAUAUCCACACAGUGUAUAUUGAUGAGCACCACAGGUUUUAUCUUUUCCAGUGGAAUCCAAAUGUGACCAAGAUACAGCGUUCCUGUGUCCAGGAAGCAAUAAAUAGUUUAUAUUUCCCAGGAAGAAGGAAAUCUUCCACCUCCAGGAAGAGAAAAAUAGGCAAGUGGUUUUAAAUUAAGCCUGUUUAAAUGGUGUUCUUAGUGACAUUUGCACUAAGCAUAUAAUACAAACUGACAAGACUUUAGGUAACAGUAUUAGGUGUCAAAUUUAUGUUAUUGGAGCUGAGAAUGUGAGAUCUCAUAGUUUGGGUCAUUUAUGUUUUCUACAUAAAUGCAGUUUUAAAGCCUUAUUCAAAUCAGUUCUCCAUUUUCAGAAUCUUUUAGGAUCAACCCAGGCACCAAGACUAUACUUCAGAAGAUAAAUAUAUUUAGCAUUAAAAGUUAGUCAUGCUAGUACUCUUGUGCUAAUUAUGUUUUCUUAUUAAAAUGUAAUACUUCUAACAUGCCAACUAAGCAAAGUAAGCCAGUCUGACCUAAUAAAUGAAGAAGUAAUUAUUUCUAUCAGUAAUUUUUUGCUCUUUGUUUUCACACGUCUUAGAAAAUACUCCAAGAUGCAAUUUUCUCGUGUUUGUAUAUCUCUUUGCCGGCCACUCAACGUCUGAAUUGUCACAACAGCUGAACAGAUGGUCACUUGUCCUGAUCCUGGUUCUGUUGGAGGUUUCUUCUUCUUAAAAUUGAGUUGAUUCUCUCCACUAUCCCUUAGUGCUUGCUCCGGAUUAGUUAGACCAUGGAAGUAAAAUUUCAUUGCAAUCUGAUGGAUUUGACAUUUAAUGAUCCACUGAAUCUGGCUGUAGUAAUGUGAAUCCACUGCCUUGCACUGUACAUAACAGGAUUUAAAUUGGGCCUAUAAUUUGCUUUGACAUGGCUAAUCUUAACUAGAGCAAUAUAAAUUAAUUUAAUUGGGAAAAGACAAGCAAAUGUGCUGGAGGGUUAACACUUUUAUUGCAAGAUUAAAUAUCAAGAUAAAUACUUUCAGUUAAAUUUUAAGGUCUUGCUUAAAAAAACAAUUUGCUUGUCUGCACUAGUAAAAUACUGGCAGUAAUUUUAUUGCAUUUCAUUUUCACACAGUCAUGUUUUGAAGUUGAUGAACCCCUGGUAGAAUACAGGUGACAGGCAAGACACUGAUGAAGUGGAGUUUAAUCAAGCAAAAAAAAUGAAUAAAAUAAAUAAAUAAUUCCAGAGUUACAAAUAAAACUGUUUAGAACAGGUGAGUCUAAUUAAAUGUGCUGCAGGUUUGUGGGGGGUCAACGCUAGAGAAGCUGAAGGAUGAUGGCCAAACAAUACACAGUAAAAACAAAUGAAAGAAUAAACAUAACCAAGAAGAACACAAAACUCAAAACCAGAAUGACUAAACUCAGUCCAUAGCAGUUAUUUCUGUUUUUGUGCCAAAUUGUUUUCUUGGAACAAGAAAAGGUUUUGCUUUUUCACAAUUUUUAUUAAAUAUUCAUAAAUAAACCAAUGAACAUUUGUGCAAUAAAAUCUAGCAUUUUUGGAAGAAUUUAGCUUUCCCAAUACUGUAUCAAGUGAAUGACAUUGAAACUCAUGCUUUGACAUCAUCUGAAUUUGCCUUCAAGUCAGUGUGGUGCCACAAAGUCCAUCAGAUGAAAUGUUCUCCCCUGUGUUACCACAGGCCAUGUCAUGAACACAGUGCCAACGGUGUCAGUGGGAGUCAGUGGGAUCUGCAUGUUCUGAAACACUUCACUCUGCCAAAUUGUAAUCAUCUGGUGUUGUGGGAGUAGUUUAUAGCUGCCAGGAAUUUAUUCAUUAUUUUAAAUUCUAGUAUUAUCUUAUUCAGGGACAUAAGAGACAAACAAACACACUCAUUCCUAUCUAAAAUUGCCAAUUAACCUACACUGCAUGUUUUUGCAGGUAAGCUGAGCACACACAAAAAUUAUAAAUAUUUAAGUUUAUAUACGUGUUUUUUCUCCAUAUGAAAUAUCACAAGCAAAAUAUUGAUAUAAUACAGAAGAAAAAUGAUCUGGCAGAUCAGUUAGCCAUCUUCCUUAUUUAUAUUUUCAUUUUAAGAGUAGUCCUAGAAUCUCACUCUGUCACAAUAACACUCUGUAUGUGUUACUUCGUUUCAUCCAUUAGCCUUCUCUGUGUUCUUCUUUCUUCCUUUUUGGCAGCCCAUACUUUAAAUCUUCUGUUCAAAACAUAAAGCUAUGAAAAUAUUUCCCCCUUUACAGCUUUCUUAUGGUUAUGUUUUUUGUUAUAACUAAAUGUUUCAGAUAAUCAAACUGAUCUUGGUGUCAGACAAAUUUAACUCGUGUAAAUGCAAGCAACCGAUCCCCAAAAUUAAAAUUUUUCUUAUUAAGGAGAUAUAAAGCUAUACUUUAUAUAUAAAAAAGUACAUAUGGAUGAUGCAGCAGGUCAAUGAUUAUAAGCAUUUGCACCUUAAUGGCUUCCAAAAAUCCACAUGGAGGUAAAGUAAUUGAGGAGUGGCCUAUUCAAAGUUUUGACACUAAUCCAAACAAUCUAAAUUUCAUGUUUAAAGUGCAACUUUAAACAUGCAAUUUAUGAUCAAAUGUAGCUUUCAUUUAAACAAUAAUGUACAGAAAAGGAUUAAAACAUAUAUGUAAAAGACUUCUUACAGGAUUGCGGGGAGCUAGCAUCCAUCCCCAGCAAACACAGGGUGAAGGUCAUGGUACACCCCAGGCAGGAUGAAAAUGGCAAAGCAGAACUUAUCUGUACGAAGGCAAAUAACAGUGCUAUAUUCAUAGCAUACAAUGUCUGUACACAAUUUUACAUUAGCUUUUUUUUAAUGAAUCACACCUGUUUUAUCACUUUACACUUUUUACUCCUCUAUCAAUGUUAUUGUUAUUUUCUUUGGAUUCAUUCCUUGAUAAAGUGAAUCAUGUCAUGCUUCCUUCAUCUUUUCUGCCCACAAGCUUCUGAUGGGAGCCAACAUUCCUCACGGAGAAAGAAAGUUCUCCUGGAAGAUGUUGUCAGGACGACUGUGUUUCUAUUGGUGGCUAUGGAAGUACCAUGGCAACCAUAGACCUCAGUCCUCUUAAGUUCAUUAAGUGUUGGAGUCGGUGGCUGGUGAAGAACUCCAAGUAACAAACAUUUUAACUACAAAGUGUUUGGAAAAGUUUAAACCUGAAGCAUCACACACUUUGCUGAGGUUUAGCUCAUCUGCACUGACUCAUUCAGGGUCUCUUUGUCCACCAAAUCAAUACAACCAUUCAACCAUUCUCUAAAUUUGUCUUUUUUCCUCAGGUGCCAGCAUUUCUUAAAAAAGGAAUGUGGAGGAUUAGACCACAAAAUGGAGAAAUCCUGAUCCCUCAAUUUAAUUCAAUCAUUCUUUCUAAAGCACCUGAUUAAAUAAAGAACACAUGCAAGCAAGCAUUGAGGGACAGCAUUGUUUGGGAUUAUGUUAACACAAAUAAGCCUAAAAGGCUUUGACGUUUUAUCUCUCCGGACAAAAGUCACAUGUUGGAGAUGAAGCUGCUGACGUUUUUUUUCUGUUCAUUUCCAAAUCAAGUGUCCUAUUUUAAAUUUGUGGCUUUUUAUUAUGUGGGUGGGCUAAACAAAACGUGUGUGUCAGGGGGAUUUAUAAAAGGUCUGAAGGGUCGAAUCAGAUCUCAGUUGGAGAGUUUUAGCAUUAGAGGAGCUGUUUUCACUCAGAGAGAAGAAAUAAGAUGCAGAUCUCGCCUGUGCAGUUGUUUGCUGUGAUGGUUCUUGUCAUCUUUACCACCGGCCAUUGUCAACAGAAUGACAAUCGCCGAGCGGUGACUGAACACCAGCUGAUGCACGAUCGUGGUCGAAACAUCCAGAGUCUGAAAAGGCUCAUCUGGCUUUCCAGCGCUAUGGAGGGUCUUCACACUGCACAGACCCGCUCAGCUGCUGCUGCUACUGCUUUCACCCCUUCAAAGCUCCUGAGCUCCCCUCUGAAUCCAGUUCUGAUCCCAGCUGGAGAGAGCCCCCAAUCUCCUCAGGUCCAGAACAUGCUGAGAGACUUCUUUUAUCCCCAUUUGAAUCAUCUCUUGGAUGAAGAGCCCUAACACCAUGCAAAUGCACAUGAAACAUAAAAUAAAAUGCACAGAAAGAUU